rnacentral:tRNA from 1 species
GUCUGGCUGGCUCAGUCGGUAGAGCUUGUGACUCUUGAUCUCAGGGUUGUAAGUUGGAGCCCUGCGACGGGCA